rnacentral:rRNA from 1 species
AUGGGUAACCAUCUGUGGGCUAUAAUAGGAGAUUUCAAUGAGAUUUUGUAUGCAAGUGAAAAGGAGGGAGGUAAUCCUCGACCGAACAAUAUGAUGCAAGCUUUCCGGGACUGCUUGGUGGAGUGUGGACUGGAGGACAUGGGCUAUACUGGAGACUUGUACACUUGGAGGAGAGGAGAGAUUAGGGAAAGAUUAGACCGGGCAGUGUGUAACUCACAGUGGUCUACCAAAUUUUCAAAAGGGGCGUUAAUCAAUGAGAGUCAUGUCCAUUCGGAUCAUAGGCCAAUUAUACUUGACACCGAGUACCAGGAGGCUGUUCAAUUUAGCAAGAUGACAGGAGGCCGAAAGUUUGAAGCUAAGUGGUUAAAGGAGGAAACAAUGGAAGAGAUUGUGAAUACAGCAUGGAAUCGGGACAAACUUGCUGGCUUGGGUCCAUCGUUAGCCGACCGAACUCGUGCUGUCAAAUCAGAUCUUCAUCAAUGGGAUAAGGAGGUGUUACAGGGGCCAAAGAGAAGGAUCAAAAAGUUGAAAACGGAAUUGGAAAAUCUUCGUUGUGGAUUGAAUAAUGCUGACAAUAGAGCUAGGCAGAACGAAAUCCGUGUUUUGCUUGAAAACUUACUGGACCAGGAGGAAAUCUAUGGCUCCAAAGAGGGCGCACCAACUGGCUGUUACAUGGUGACCGAAACUCUAACUUUUUCCAUAAUGCAGCCACUGCGAGGAAGAAAAGGAAUCACAUUAGAAAAUUGUUGGAUGACACUAGAGUAUGGCAUCAAGGUACAGAAGAUCUAA